rnacentral:rRNA from 1 species
UACGUAGGGUGCAAGCGUUAAUCGGAAUACUGGGCGUAAAGCGUGCGCAGGCGGUUUUGUAAGUCUGACGUGAAAUCCCCGGGCUCAACCUGGGAAUUGCGUUGGAGACUGCAAGGCUGGAGUCUGGCAGAGGGGGGUAGAAUUCCACGUGUAGCAGUGAAAUGCGUAGAUAUGUGGAGGAACACCGAUGGCGAAGGCAGCCCCCUGGGAUAACACUGACGCUC